rnacentral:misc_RNA from 1 species
CGUGCUUGCGAUGGACAGCGUGCCGCGCAUCUCGCGCGCGCAGAAGCUCGAUGCGCUCUCUUCCAUGGCCAACAUCGCAGGCUAUCGCGCCGUCAUCGAGGCGGCACAUCACUUCGGACGCCUGUUCACCGGGCAGAUCACGGCCGCGGGCAAGAUGCCGCCGGCAAGAGUGUUCGUAGUCGGUGCAGGGGUGGCCGGGCUUGCCGCGAUCGGCACCGCUUCGGGCUUGGGCGCGAUCGUGCGCGCCAACGACACUCGCCCGGAAGUGGCCGACCAGGUGAAGUCGAUGGGCGGCGAGUUCGUAUC